GGUGAUCCACAAUAAGAACUGCUAAUUCCUACAUCUGAGACUAACCCCCUCAGCUCCCUUAC
rnacentral:tRNA from 1 species